rnacentral:rRNA from 1 species
GAAACCCGGUGAUCUAAGCCUGUCCAGGAUGAAGCUGUGGUAAGACACAGUGGAGGUCCUAACCCACCGCCGUUGAAAAGUUGGGGGAUGAGGUAGGUUUAGGGGUGAAAAGCCAAUCGAACCGGGAUAUAGCUCGUUCUCUCCGAAAUGCAUCUAGGUGCAGCCUUGCGUGUUUAAUGAUGGGGGUAGAGCACUGACUGAACUAGGGGGCAUAUAGCUUACUGAAUUCAAUCAAACUCCGAAUACCAUUAUUCA